rnacentral:lncRNA from 1 species
UGCCUAUGUAAUCAAAAAUAAAAAAUCACAGCCCCUCACCCUACCUCCUUUUUCCCCAACUCCAUCAACCUAAAUCCAAAACCACACACACCCGAUUGCUGGUAGACCCUGCCAUCGUCGGCACUACCGUCUCAAAGUCGUCGGCAUUCCAGAUUCAAAAGAAAAAAGAAGAUUCUUUUUCUUCUCCACCCCUUCCCCACCUGCCCUCACCUACCCAAAACCAAAUCUAAGAUCCAGAUAGCCACCGUCAUCACUACCUUCAUACUCUUCCAUUUGCCAAAAUUCGCUUACUCAUCUCCUCUCUAUAAAGCUUGCUCAUUCAAUUUUAAUCUCAUCCUCAUACUGUAAUUACAAGAUCUUUGCUUGAGCUUCAUUCAGUUUUUGUUUUGAUGAGAAAUCACAGCAAGGCCAAAUUGGAUGCUUCAUUCACCAGAACUUUGUGCAAAUUUGUACCUAUUUUUUGUUUUUAAUAAUUGUUAUAUAGUGUACUGUUAUUGAGUGGGAAAAUUUUCAGAUUGUGUACGUUUAAUUUCGUUUCUUCCUUUUUAUUCAAUAUUUUAAUUAUUUAUGUGGA